GCUAGCAGCUAUAUCACCCUGAACUCACAGCUGACCACCCACUGAAACCCAGCAGGUAUGAGCCUGGUCAGUAUCUGGAUGGGAGACCUCCAGGGAAAAACUAAGGUUAUUGCUGGAA
rnacentral:rRNA from 1 species